rnacentral:misc_RNA from 1 species
CUUGAAUCGACGAAUUGUGAAAUACCCGUCAAUGAAAUAAAUGGAUCAAAAUUGUGCAAAUCAAAAUGGAUUUAGUGCUGGCA